rnacentral:rRNA from 1 species
ACAGAGGUGGCAAGCGUUGUUCGGAAUUACUGGGCGUAAAGGGCGCGUAGGCGGCCUACUAAGUCAGACGUGAAAUCCCUCGGCUUAACCGGGGAACUGCGUCUGAUACUGGAUGGCUUGAGUUCGGGAGAGGGAUGCGGAAUUCCAGGUGUAGCGGUGAAAUGCGUAGAUAUCUGGAGGAACACCGGUGGCGAAGGCGGCAUCCUGGACCGAAACUGACGCUGAUGAGCGAAAGCCAGGGGAGCAAACGGGA